rnacentral:rRNA from 1 species
UAUGCGAUACUUGGUGUGAAUUGCAGAAUCCCGUGAACCAUCGAGUCUUUGAACGCAAGUUGCGCCCGAAGCCACUAGGCCGAGGGCWCGUCUGCCUGGGUGUCACGCAUCGUUGCCCCAAAACCUUGUCGUCCCUUCGGUCAACCGGAGGCGAUGAGGUGCUUGGGCGGAAGUUGGCCUCCCGUGAGCAUUGCCUCGCGGAUGGUCGAAAUUGGAGCCUGUGGGGAGCGACSGCCACGUUCCACGGUGGUUGAGSAGAUGCCUCGAGGCCGACCGUGCGCGAGUUGUCCCCACGUCAAAGGCUGCGAGACCCUUGCGAGCAAGAAAGUGCUCCCAACGCGACCCCAGGUCAGGCGGGGCCACCCGCUGAGUUUAAGCAUAUCAAUAAGCGGAGGAAAAGAAACUAACAAGGAUUCCCUUAGUAACGGCGAGCGAACCGGGAAAAGCCCACCAUGAGAAUCGGUCGUCCUCGGCGUCCGAAUUGUAGUCUGGAGAAGCGUCAA